GCUGUGUCAUAAGCACAUUGCCUUUGCUGGCGAUGCCUCUUUGUGCAGAAUUCUGGUUUCUGCUGGCUGCUGUGGAGAAGCAGCCUUUGGUCUUUCCUGCUGAAGAACAGAGGGGAUUUUUAAUCUACCACCGCUUCAGGCACCAUUGGAAAGGAGGUGGCAGCAGGCAGGAAAGGGGGAAGGAAGGAUGGAAGGAUGGAAAAGAAUUCAGACAGAAUAAGACCUACAAUACUCCAGGAAAUAAUGCCCGGCUGCUCACUGGAGGGAAGGAUAUUAGAGGCAAAGACGAAGCACUUUGGCCACACAAUGAGAAGACAGGAAAGCUUGGAAAAGAUCAUGAUGCUGGGAAAAAUGGAAGGAAAAAGGAAGAGAAUCCGACCAAGGGCAAGAUGGAUGGAUGGUAUCCUUGAAGUGACUGGCUUGACCCUGAAGAAAGCUCUGGCGUGGGAUGGUCCAUGUGGUCACAAAGAGUUGAAAGUGACUGAAUGAAUAAACAGCACAAAAGACCUACAAUAUAGGCAUUCUGUGGCACUCUUAUCUUAAGAGCCAUAAUAUCAAUACUAACAAAACCAACAGUCCCUUUGAGCCAUGAUGUGUAGUUUUGUUUUGCAUCAGAUAUGCGUAACUGGGUCAAAAUUAUUCUAACAAAUUCUGCUCAAUGCAACAUAGUAAUGCAUUCCCCACACCAAAAAAGAUGUCAUUCAUUUUAGGGUGAGGUGAGGAACAGGCCAUAGUGACAAGAAGUAACUUGAUCUGGUUACCAGUAAAUUGACUCAUCCAGGGGAGAAAAAAACAAUGUAUAACAGGAUCAUAGAAUCAUAGAAUCGUAGAGUGGGGAGAGACCUCACGGGCCAUCCAGUCCAACCCCCUGCCAAGAAGCAGGAAAUCGCAUUCAAAGCACCCCCGACAGAUGGCCAUCCAGCCUCUGCUUAAAAGCCUCCAAAGAAGGAGCCUCCACCACAGUCUGGGGGAGAGAGUUCCACUGCCGAACAGCUCUCACAGUGAGGAAGUUUUUCCUGAUGUUUAGGUGGAAUCUCCUUUCCUGUAGUUUGAAGCCAUUGUUCCGCGUUCUAGUCUGCAGGGCAGCAGAAAACAAGCUUGCUCCCUCCUCCCUAUGACUUCCCCUCACAUAUUUGUGCAUGGCUAUCAUGUCUCCUCUCAGCCUUCUCUUUUGCAGGCUAAACAUGCCCAGUUCUUUAAGCCGCUCCUCAUAGGGCUUGUUCUCCAGACCUUUGAUCAUUUUAGUUGCCCUCCUCUGGACACAUUCCAGAAUCAGGAAAUAUAAGAUAUUGACAUUGGUUACUGCUACAACUCUAGCCACAGCCGUGUCCCUCUAUUUAACACACUCGUACUCUAGUUCUCCAGUAGAAUAAUAAUAAUGGUGCACAAGAAUUAACAUAGUUUUUAGCAUUUUCUUUUGGAAUUCUAUUGAUAAACAAUAGCAUAAUAGAAGAUUAUCUCUCCCAUAAUAAUGAAAUAAGCUCAAGCAGCACAUCUUUCUAUGAUAAUGGAUUUAAAAUGACAUACCUUCCAUUUUCAAAAACUGAACGCAUAAUAAAUAAAAUGAUGGUAAUAAGAGUGCAUGAGGAAGUAACAAUGGAUACAAUGACUACAGCUGAUGCCAAGAGACAGGACUGCCAGAAAAUCAAACAUUACUCAUAUCCCUAAAUCCUUGGGCAGUGGACUACCAACACUUAGCUACCUUAUUUGUUUUAUAUGCCACAGAAGGACUUGUGCCAGUAAAAUAAAAAUAAUAAAACCCCCAAAUUCUGAUAGUAAUUUUGAAAAUCUUCCAGUUGGCAGGGUAGGAUAAGAGGCUCUUAACUCCUAAGCAUAGAGAGUGUGCCUGAAAGCAUAAACAAUUGUUACUGAAGGCUGAGGAGAACAAUUCAGGCUUUCUUUCCCCUCUUUUACUAGCUACUCGCUAUACUGUUCCCAAGCUUUUAGUGGAAACAGAGAGUACAAUGCACAAGGCAUGUGCAUUCCCAUUUCAUUUUAAUGGCGCAGCCAAGCAACAGCAUCAUGGUUUGUGGGCUAAUACCAAAUCUAGGGCCAAGGAACAUUAUAAUCUACCAUCUGACCCUUGAUGGACUUCUAAAAUGUAGCUAACUCUUGCCUUUCUAAUCUCCACCUCUGGCAGCCGCGAUACUACGGCUUCUGCUUAUCUGCUGGCAAAGACCCUGCCUUUGGACAAUGGGCCAAUUCUCAUAUUUAUGCAGGGGAAAACAGGAGUUAAUGCCAGGAGGUUAGGUGGAUACUGGCACCGGGAGAAUGAAAAUUACCAGGCUUCAAUUCUGUAAUAAACACGGGCUGUGAAGAACAAGCAGACAAGCCAAAUGACAACAGAAGGAUGUUCUGUUGCAGAAUGUUUUAUUUACCCCUAAAAGGAAAGACCAAAACAGAUUAACAUUGAAUUAUAUCUUUGAUUUGUAUUCAGCACAAUAGCUUUAAAAUGGGCCUCAAAUGCUCCAUAUGGCAGCUAUUCCCUCUCACAAUUACUUUCCCUUGCACAGCAAUAGGGAAACUAAUUGGAAAAUAGAAGUCAACAUGGAAGGAGGAGGGAGGUUCCUUACCUCUAAAAAAAGUCCAAGUACUACGGGUGACACAUCAGAUAGAUCAUACUGUACAGCCUUCUGACAUUUCAGAGUGCAAGUAGGGAAAACUGUGUUGGAAUACAGUCGUCCUUAAAAAUAACAAAAACACCCAAGCCCUACAUGGAGCCCCUUCACUACACAGGAAUGAAAUCUAGGCUAGAAAGUCUUUGUCAUUUUUGUCAGCAAGGAAUCUUUUGUUUCAUUAGUUACUUUAGUUUUAUUCCAAAGGAAAUAUGCUUGAAAAAUUCCACAAAAUGAAGAUUCUCCUUACAACUCUUGAGAUUUCAGAAUUGGCCCAAUAACUGCAAUCAGAGGUGGGAAACGCUUUGGAUACUGAUGGACUUCCAAACACAUUAUUCUUCAUACCAGUUUGUGCUAACCCAGUAUCACCUUGAGGGCCAUAUGUUUCCCAUGUCUGAAUUACAUAUUGAAAAAAAUGUAGAAUGGGAGAGUUAGACUGGACCACAGACACUUUUGAUGCCACAGUAUCACAUUUUAGUGAUGGGACAGCUCUUCCUCUAGAAGAUUUAGUAAAACAGGAGGCCCAGAGAGAGACACAGAGAAUUAGAAUUUGAAAUAUAUCACAUGAGAACUGGGAAACAAAGAAUUGGGAUUGGGGAGAAGCUGAAGAAAUCCUGGUGUGGGAGGGGAGAGAGAAUCAUGGGGUGGGAUGAAAUGGGAAGAAAUGGGAAAGGGGGCUGAUUUGUUUGCUCAGCCUUUACAGAAUAUCAAUUUCUUUAGGCCUGUAAAGAUCAUAUUCCUCCUGUUGCCAUUGACUUGUAUGCCAUUCUGGCAGAUACGUAGUGCAUUGUGAUUCUCUUCAAUUCUCCUGUUCAUUUUAUUUUGAUUUCUACUGCAUAUUAUUGUACAAUGCACAAUAUUAUAUAUCAUUAUUUAAAGUCAGUUUAAUUAAUAAUUGUGCAGAAACCCCUCUGCUAUACAGCUACUAAAGUCUUUGCUAUAUGUAAUCUGUAUUUGUUAUGUUGUAUGCCAAUUUGAGUCCCACUCUGGGAGAAAAGUGGGAUACAAAUAAAUACAUAAUAAAUAAAUAAUACUAAUAAAGGUA